CACACGCGAGCAUGCUAAUCAGUGUUUUCAGGAAAAUUAGAAAAUCACAGGUUGGUGAGUUUUAUCAGGGUUGGAGCUUAACUCCGCAGAGAUCUGAUGAACGCGGUCUAAACGCAUUUUAUGCAAAUUAUCAGCGGUUACAACUAACGUUAAGUCGAUUUGAAUGUGCAAACAGCUGGAUCCAACUACUUUACAACGAAGGAAAAUGUCAUCAAAACUGGAAUUUUGCUGAAACGUGAAGGAUUAACAAGGGUGUUGCUCCAAGGACACGUACUUGUAAAUCAAUCUAUUAGCCAAUGAUUUUGAUCUUUUGAUGUAAUAUUUUGAAAUAAGCUUGCAACAAUUUACAUAUGAGUGAACAUAUUUUUAAAAUGUUUUCUAUAGAUUAAAAAAAAUACUA